rnacentral:ribozyme from 1 species
AAGAAAUGCAUCACUGGUACGGGUACGAAACCAACUCCUCUUGUAGGCUACUUAGGCUCUUCGUACCCAACUCCUGCUCAAAACGUCCUCGACCUACAGAACCCGAGGAAACCCAACCCCUUGGGAAGAUGGAUGAUAUGGCUAAUAUGAGAUUG